UGCAAACUGCCAAUGGAAUGUUUUCCCGAGACACGGUAAAGAAAGCCCAAAUGGACGACGCCAUUUUCUCUGUUUUCUAAACACACCACUCUGCGCAGCAAAUUUACAUCACAAAUACCCAACAGCACAGUCAGAGAAGGGAGGUGUUGAGGAAUACCAGGCGCACAGCACUCAGAUCAACAGCGAAACGGGGAUGAAGAGUCUUUUUUAUUAUCAGCGAAUUUUUUUAAUUAUCGGAAUUAUCUGCGUGACGUCACAAAGGCUAUUACUGGCCGAUAACUAUCGGCCACCGAUAGUUAUUGUGCAUCCCUAAUUACAACACUGGUUU